GGCGCCUACGGGACGCAGCAGUAGGGAAUUUUCGUUAAUGGGCGCAAGCCUGAACGAGCGAUGCCGCGUGAGUGAAGAAGGCCUUCGGGUCGUAAAGCUCUGUUGCGGGGGAAAAAAGGCAGCAUCAGGAAAUGGGUGCUGACUGAUGGUGCCCCGCCAGAAAGUCACGGCUAACUACGUGCCAGCAGCCGCGGUAAUACGUAGGUGGCGAGCGUUAUCCGGAAUGAUUGGGCGUAAAGGGUGCGCAGGCGGUCCUGCCAGUCUGGAGGGAAACGCAUGAGCUCAACUCAUGCAGGGCUUUGGAA
rnacentral:rRNA from 1 species